rnacentral:rRNA from 1 species
ACGCUGGCGGCGUGCCUAACACAUGCAAGUCGAGCGAGGAGAUUCCCUUCGGGGAUGAACCUAGCGGCGGACGGGUGAGUAACACGUGGGCAACCUGCCUUAUAGAGGGGAAUAGCCUUCCGAAAGGAAGAUUAAUACCGCAUAACAUUACAUUUUUCGCAUGAAGAAGUAAUUAAAGGAGUAAUCCGCUAUAAGAUGGGCCCGCGGCGCAUUAGCUAGUUGGUGAGGUAACGGCUCACCAAGGCGACGAUGCGUAGCCGACCUGAGAGGGUGAUCGGCCACAUUGGGACUGAGACACGGCCCAGACUCCUACGGGAGGCAGCAGUGGGGAAUAUUGCACAAUGGGGGAAACCCUGAUGCAAGCAACGCCGCGUGAGUGAUGAAGGUCUUCGGAUCGUAAAGCUCUGUCUUCAGGGACGAUAAUGACGGUACCUGAGGAGGAAGCCACGGCUAACUACGUGCCAGCCGCAGC